GUGUAGCGGUGAAAUGCGUAGAGAUUUGGAGGAAUACCAGUGGCGAAGGCGGCCCCCUGGCACAAUACUGACGCUCAGGUGCGAAAGCGUGGGGAGCAAACAGGAUUAGAUACCCUGGUAGUCCACGCCGUAAACGAUGUCUACUAGAUGUUCGUGGUCUUGUACCGUGAGUAUCGCAGCUAACGCAUUAAGUAGACCGCCUGGGGAGUACGGUCGCAAGAUUAAAACUCAAAUGAAUUGACGGGGGCCCGCACAAGCGGUGGAGCAUGUGGUUUAAUUCGACGCAACGCGAAGAACCUUACCUACUCUUGACAUCUACAGAACUUGGUAGAGAUACCUAGGUGCCUUCGGGAACUGUAAGACAGGUGCUGCAUGGCUGUCGUCAGCUCGUGUUGUGAAAUGUUGAGUUAAGUCCCGCAACGAGCGCAACCCUUAUCCUUAGUUGCCAGCGAUUCGGUCGGGAACUCUAGGGAGACUGCCGGUGAUAAACCGGAGGAAGGUGGGGACG
rnacentral:rRNA from 1 species